UUUCCGUAGGUGAACCUGCGGAAGGAUCAUUAUCGUAAAACCGGGGUGCGAGGGCUGUCGCUGACCUUUUCGGUCGUACACGCACGAGCGCUCUCACACAAUCCAUCUCACCCCUUGUGCACCACCGCGUGGGUGCCUUUCUGGCUCGUUCGGAGGGGGGCUCGCGUUUUCACAAAAACUUGAAGUAGUGUAGAACGUCCUUUUUUUGCGAUAACACGCAAUAAAUACAACUUUCAACAACGGAUCUCUUGGCUCUC
rnacentral:misc_RNA from 1 species